UGUUUUAUCGAGUGUAUAUGAAAUCAGAGACAGCGUUGACAGGUUCAAAUUCAGAUUUUCGAAAAGACACUACUUCAUAGACCAACAAAAUGGGGGGGGGGGUUCUAACUGAGUGUCAAUCACUGCUCAUACAUACGCAUUCAUUCUCCCUUGUGGGGGGAGGGGCUUAGGAAACUGUUUUGGGCUUUAGCAGAAAGGGGGGAGGGACUGAGAAGUUGUCGAUGUUCAAAAAUGGCUACGUCCUGGAUCUUCGCAAUCCUGCCUACGGCACCUUUUAUCUAUUUAAUACCCCCAUAUUUGUGGUUUCAUAAUGGAAACGGUAAUAGAUUGUAAUACAUUAUGGGAUUUUAUAAUGGGUUUUCUGUAUAAAUUAAUUUUAGGUUCAUUAAUUCAUAAAUGUAUUGAUAUAUUAUAAGUCAGUUGGUUUCCAAUUGAUUAUCUGCGUGGUUCAGGAAGUUUUGAGGGGUUGAAAAAACACUUUUACCAUUUAUCAAAUAGCAUGACAUUUUCACCAUAAUUGAAAAAUGAAGACCCUUUUUUUAAAUUAAAGUAAGAUAUUACUGUAAU